rnacentral:rRNA from 1 species
UACGUAGGGAGCGAGCGUUGUCCGGAAUUACUGGGUGUAAAGGGAGCGUAGGCGGGGAUGCAAGUUGGGUGUCAAAACUACCGGCUCAACUGGUAGUCGCACUCAAAACUGCAGCUCUUGAGUGAAGUAGAGGCAGGCGGAAUUCCUAGUGUAGCGGUGAAAUGCGUAGAUAUUAGGAGGAACACCAGUGGCGAAGGCGGCCUGCUGGGCUUUUACUGACGCUGAGGCUCGAAAGUGUGGGGAGCGAACAGG